rnacentral:tRNA from 1 species
GCGGCGGUAAUUCAGUGGUAGAAUGCUACCUUGCCAAGGUAGAUGUCAUGGGUUCGAGCCCCAUUCGCCGCU